ACACAUCAACUGGUUUUGGUGUAGCUACUCGGUAAGAAUUUCUGAAUACCCAGGACUCAAGAUUGGUGACUGUUAAGCAGACCUAGCAGUUUUUAUACCUGUGUGUCAAGUGGCACCUUCAUGCCUUGGUGAGGGGGCAUCCUGUCAGCCCUCCAAGGAGAUGUGGUUCAGGAGAUGGUCUCGAUCUCUUGACCUCGUGAUCCACCCGCC